CGACCGGGACGACCCGGUCGUUUCCCUGGGGCAAUACCGGGACGGCCCGG
rnacentral:ncRNA from 1 species